rnacentral:rRNA from 1 species
UACGUAGGGGGCAAGCGUUGUCCGGAUUUAUUGGGCGUAAAGAGCGUGUAGGCGGCCACACAGGUCAGCUGUGAAAACUCGAGGCUCAACCUCGAGACGUCGGUUGAAACCGUAUGGCUAGAGUCCGGAAGAGGAGAGUGGAAUUCCCGGUGUAGCGGUGAAAUGCGCAGAUAUCGGGAAGAACACCCGUGGCGAAGGCGGCUACACUGGCUCAUUUCUGACGCUCAGGCGCGACAGCGUGGGGAUCAAACAGG